rnacentral:rRNA from 1 species
GACGAACGCUGGCGGCGUGCUUAACACAUGCAAGUCGAACGGAAAGGCCUUUUCGGAGGUACUCGAGUGGCGAACGGGUGAGUAACACGUGGGUGAUUUGCCCUGCACUCUGGGAUAAGCCUGGGAAACUGGGUCUAAUACCUGAUAGGACCGCACUUUUGCUGGUGUGGUGGAAAGUUUUUUCGGUGUAGGAUGAGCCCGCGGCCUAUCAGCUUGUUGGUGGGGUAAUGGCCUACCAAUGCGGCGACGGGUAGCCGGACUGGGAGGUUGGUCGGCCACAUUGGGGCUGAGAUACGGCCCAGACUCCUACGGGGGGCAGGAGGGGGGAAUAUUGCACAAUGGGCGCAAGCCUGAUGCAGCGACGCCGCGUGGGGGAUGACGGGCUUCGGGUUGUAAACUCCUUUCGCCAGGGACGAAGCGUUUUGUGACGGUACCUGGAGAAGAAGCACCGGCUAACUACGUG